rnacentral:rRNA from 1 species
CCUACGGGUGGCAGCAGUAGGGAAUCUUCCACAAUGGGCGCAAGCCUGAUGGAGCAACACCGCGUGAGUGAAGAAGGGUUUCGGCUCGUAAAGCUCUGUUGUUGGAGAAGAACGUUCGUGAGAGUAACUGUUCACGCAGUGACGGUAUCCAACCAGAAAGUCACGGCUAACUACGUGCCAGCAGCCGCGGUAAUACGUAGGUGGCAAGCGUUAUCCGGAUUUAUUGGGCGUAAAGCGAGCGCAGGCGGUUGCUUAGGUCUGAUGUGAAAGCCUUCGGCUUAACCGAAGAAGUGCAUCGGAAACCGGGCGACUUGAGUGCAGAAGAGGACAGUGGAACUCCAUGUGUAGCGGUGGAAUGCGUAGAUAUAUGGAAGAACACCAGUGGCGAAGGCAGCUUACUAAACUGCCACUGACAUUGAUGCUCGAAAGUGUGGGUAUCAAACAGGAUUAGAUACCCUAGUAGUC